UACGUAGGUGGCAAGCGUUGUCCGGAUUUAUUGGGUUUAAAGGGUGCGUAGGCGGCUUUGUAAGUCAGUGGUGAAAUAUGGCAGCUCAACUGUCAGGGUGCCAUUGAUACUGCGGAGCUUGAGUACAGAUGAGGUAGGCGGAAUUGACGGUGUAGCGGUGAAAUGCGUAGAGAUCGGGAGGAACAUCAGUUGCGAAGGCGGCCACCUGGACCAGCACUGACACUGAGGCACGAAAGCGUGGGGAGCAAACAGG
rnacentral:rRNA from 1 species